rnacentral:misc_RNA from 1 species
UCAAACUUGGUCAUUUAGAGGAAGUAAAAGUCGUAACAAGGUUUCCGUAGGUGAACCUGCGGAAGGAUCAUUACGAAAGACCCGUGCCUACCAGGCCGGAUCCUUUAACCACUGUGUAUCAAACUUUUGUUGCCUCGGCGGGUUGGGCCACCGGGUCUCUACCCGGCUGCCCCCCUCCCGUGUGGAGGGAGCCGCCCGCCGCGGGAUUUUUCAAACCAAUUCGUUGAUGAACGUCUGAUUUACUUUUGCAAAUGCAAGAAUACAACUUUCAACAAUGGAUCUCUUGGCUCCGGCAUCGAUGAAGAACGCAGC